UACAGAGGUCCCGAGCGUUGUUCGGAUUCACUGGGCGUAAAGGGUGCGUAGGUGGCUGGAAAAGUUUGAUGUGAAAGCUCAGGGCUUAACCCUGAAAUGGCAUUGAAUACUGUCGAGCUGGAGGUUUGGAGGGGGACUGGAAUUCUUGGUGUAGCAGUGAAAUGCGUAGAUAUCAAGAGGAACACCAGUGGCGAAGGCGAGUCCCUGGACAACACCUGACACUGAGGCACGAAGGCCAGGGGAGCAAACGGG
rnacentral:rRNA from 1 species